AACGAACGCUGGCGACAUGCCUAACACAUGCAAGUCGAACGAGACCUUCGGGUCUAGUGGCGCACGGGUGCGUAACGCGUGGGAACCUGCCUUUAGGUUCGGAAUAACUCAGAGAAAUUUGAGCUAAUACCGGAUAAAUGUCUUCGGACCAAAGAUUUAUCGCCUUUAGAUGGGCCCGCGUUGGAUUAGCUAGUUGGUGGGGUAAAGGCCUACCAAGGCGACGAUCAUAGCUGGUCUGAGAGGAUGAUCAGCCACACUGGGACUGAGACACGGCCCAGACUCCUACGGGAGGCAGCAGUGGGGGAAUAUUGGACCAAAUGGGCGGAAAAGACCUGAUACCAGCAAUGCGCGUGAGUGAUGAA
rnacentral:rRNA from 1 species